GGAUUCAAGGGACUGGGACGAGGCACUUAGGUGCUGAAGCAAUCGGAAGUGGUUCCAAGAAAAGCCUCUAAGCUUCAGUCAUACGAGACCGUACCGCAAACCGACACAGGUGGGCGAGAUGAGUAUUCUAAGGCGCUUGAGAGAACUCGGGAGAAGGAACUCGGCAAAUUGGUACCGUAACUUCGGGAAAAGGUACGCCCUUGUAGCUUGGCUGAUUUACUUCAGUAGGGCGAACGGGUUGCAAUAAACUGGUGGCUGCGACUGUUUAAUAAAAACACAGCACUCUGCAAACACGAAAGUGGACGUAUAGGGUGUGACGCCUGCCCGGUGCUGGAAGAUUAAAUGAUGGGGUGCAAGCUCUUGAUUGAAGUCCCAGUAAACGGCGGCCGUAACUAUAACGGUCCUAAGGUAGCGAAAUUCCUUGUCGGGUAAGUUCCGACCUGCACGAAUGGCGUAACGAUGGCCACACUGUCUCCUCCCGAGACUCAGCGAAGUUGAAGUGUUUGUGAUGAUGCAAUCUACCCGCGGCUAGACGGAAAGACCCCAUGAACCUUUACUGUAGCUUUGCAUUGGACUUUGAAUCAAUCUGUGUAGGAUAGGUGGGAGGCUUUGAAGCGGGGACGCCAGUUCUCGUGGAGCCAUCCUUGAAAUACCACCCUGGUUCAUUUGAGGUUCUAACCUUGGCCCGUUAUCCGGGUCGGGGACAGUGCAUGGUAGGCAGUUUGACUGGGGCGGUCUCCUCCUAAAGUGUAACGGAGGAGUUCGAAGGUACGCUAGGUACGGUCGGACAUCGUGCUAAUAGUGCAAUGGCAUAAGCGUGCUUAACUGCGAGACUGACAAGUCGAGCAGGUACGAAAGUAGGACAUAGUGAUCCGGUGGUUCUGUAUGGAAGGGCCAUCGCUCAACGGAUAAAAGGUACUCUGGGGAUAACAGGCUGAUUCCUCCCAAGAGUUCAUAUCGACGGGGGAGUUUGGCACCUCGAUGUCGGCUCAUCACAUCCUGGGGCUGUAGCCGGUCCCAAGGGUAUGGCUGUUCGCCAUUUAAAGUGGUACGUGAGCUGGGUUUAAAACGUCGUGAGACAGUUUGGUCCCUAUCUGCCGUGGGCGUUGGAAAUUUGAAGGGGGCUGCUCCUAGUACGAGAGGACCGGAGUGGACAGACCUCUGGUGUACCGGUUGUCACGCCAGUGGCAUUGCCGGGUAGCUAAGUCUGGAAGAGAUAACCGCUGAAAGCAUCUAAGCGGGAAACUUGCCUUAAGAUGAGAUUUCCCAGAGCCUUGAGCUCUUUGAAGGGUCGUUCGAGACCAGGACGUUGAUAGGUCAGGUGUGGAAGUGCAGUAAUGCAUUAAGCUAACUGAUACUAAUUGCCCGUACGGCUUGUCCCUAUAACCUUAGCAGGUU
rnacentral:rRNA from 3 species